UUUUGGAUUUGGAAGACUGUGCUCUUCUGCUGUUUUCCAUGCAAGAAACCAAUUGCUCUCAUCCCUCUGCCCUGACACUUGCUCGUUCCAGGUAACCUCUGUGUUUCACAUGCUGCUCAGGCUGUCCCAGGAAGAAGAAAUGUGAAGAUCUGCUGAGCAUCCCUGGCAUCAUGGUGCCUGCUCCUCCACAGAUGAUCCUGGGGCACAAAACAAAGAAGGAGCCAAUGCAAAUGCCAUGGCUUUUUCAUCAUAACAGAAACGUGGAGAGGAGAAACAAAAAUCAAUGUUGUCAAGUGAGCAGAAUCGAUGGGGAGAGCAGAGUUGGCAUCAGGCUGCUUGGAGAACCCCACCAGCAAUAUGAAGCUGCUGGUAUCCCACAGAACAGCCACAAUAAGGGCCAUCUGUAUUUGCCAUAGCUUUGUGUGAGUUUGUUGCUCCCUCUGGAAGCAGAAGAUCUGAAAGCAAGAAUCUCAAGCAAUCUCUGUUGAGCACUGGACCCAUUUCCUCUUCCAAGCUGUUGUCAUGCAAGUAUUUUGUGCCAGUGCUUCUGAAAUACAUAAGGAGGGACAAGUCUUAGAGUAUUUAUGUACAUGGAAGAGGACCUCUGUUUCCUGAGAGAUCAUCUGUCCCUGCUGCUUAUACCCUAUUUGAUGUCAUGAUCUUGGUUGCUGUGGAAAUGAUUAAGCUGUCAUCAACAAAUUCAGAUGGGAAAUAAGCUCUGGGAGAAGAUGACACAACAUUCCUUCUUUUAUGCAAAUGUGUGCAGUUAAGAAUAGCAAACAAACACACAAAAUAUAGAGGCAAACACCUUUUUGCCCCCCAAUUCCCUAUUCAGACUGAGCAGGCUGUUUUAAAUAAGCACAUUUUUCCCAGAGGUUUCAGAUGGUGCCUAGAAAAUGUCACCCACUGCUGUGAAAGUGGCAGAAGGGAGCUAGAGGCCAGUGAAUGUCUCCUCGUCUCUUUGGCUUGAAAACUGGGAUCCUUUGUGAUCCCUGUGAUCCAUCUAUCCAAAAGAGAUGCCAGAAACCCUUUUAUCCUGAGCUUUAAGCAGGUCAUGACAGCUGCAAUAAGUUGCACAGGUAAGUAAGAGUAGCACAUUUUUUUGUGAGUGCAAACAAAUAUGCAGCAGGCAGAGCACCAGAACUGUGUCCUCUGCCCUUAAACAGCUGCCCAGGGUUGUGUUAAGCACAGCAAACCACAGUGGGAAAAGGGAUGCUCCCAGACAUUAGAUGAGGUUAUGUUGACUCAGGAAAAUGAAAUGCCUCCCAGUAGUAUCUUUGGAUUUAAUUAAUAUGUGUUCAGAGUAAGAUGCCUUUUCUCCAAGGAGGACUGGUGUUAACCACCACCUGAUUGCAUCUGGAAUUGCACAGGGGAUUUUUCAGUAUUUGGUGAAUAUAAAUGGG